GACCUCUGUGGUGCAGUGGUAGCACACGCCUCGGCAUGGGUGAAACACGGGUUCAACUCCCGCCUAGGAUCG